rnacentral:rRNA from 1 species
UGGGGAAUAUUGCACAAUGGACGAAAGUCUGAUGCAGCAACGCCGCGUGUGCGAUGAAGGCCUUCGGGCUGUAAAGCACUUUUAUGUGGGAAGAGCAAGGACUGUACCACAUGAAUAAGGAUCGGCUAACUACGUGCCAGCAGCCGCGGUAACACGUAGGAUCCAAGCGUUAUCCGGAUUUACUGGGCGUAAAGCGCGUGUAGGUGGUUUGGUAAGUAGAGCGUGAAAGCUCCUGGCUCAACUGGGAGAGGUCGUUCUAAACUGCCGGACUAGAGGAUGGUAGAGGGAGGUGGAAUUCCGGGUGUAGCGGUGGAAUGCGCAGAUAUCCGGAGGAACACCAGUGGCGAAAGCGGCCUCCUGGACCACUCCUGACACUCAGACGCGAAAGCUAGGGUAGCAAACG